ACCAUUCAGAAGGCUGUCCACCCGUCCUCAGCCCCCUCCCUUCGUGGGCUAUCUACUCAGUUGAUCCCUCCCUCGCUGGCUUGGCUCUGACUCCUGCUCAGACCCAUCACCUUUGCCGGCAAUGAUGUCUGGAGAACCCCUGCACGUGAAGACCCCCAUCCGUGACAGCAUGGCCCUGUCCAAAAUGGCCGGCACCAGCGUCUACCUCAAGAUGGACAGUGCCCAGCCCUCCGGCUCCUUCAAGAUCCGGGGCAUUGGGCACUUCUGCAAGAGGUGGGCCAAGCAAGGCUGUGCACAUUUUGUCUGCUCCUCGGCGGGCAACGCAGGCAUGGCGGCUGCAUAUGCGGCCAGGCAACUCGGCGUCCCCGCCACCAUCGUGGUGCCCAGCACCACACCUGCUGUCACCAUUGAGCGCCUCAAGAAUGAAGGUGCCACAGUCAAGGUGGUGGGUGAGUUAUUGGAUGAAGCCUUCGAGCUGGCCAAGGCCCUAGCGAAGAACAACCCGGGUUGGGUCUACAUUCCCCCCUUUGAUGACCCCCUCAUCUGGGAAGGCCACGCUUCCAUCGUGAAAGAGCUGAAGGAGACACUGUGGGAAAAGCCGGGGGCCAUCGCGCUGUCAGUGGGCGGCGGGGGCCUGCUGUGUGGAGUGGUCCAGGGGCUGCAGGAGGUGGGCUGGGGGGACGUGCCUGUCAUCGCCAUGGAGACUUUUGGCGCCCACAGCUUCCACGCUGCCACCACCGCAGGCAAACUUGUCUCCCUGCCCAAGAUCACCAGGUGAGCAGCUGGGGUGCCUCCCUCGGGUGUCCAGCAAGCACUGGGGAGUCCCCCUUAGGGCUGGCUUUGAGAUAGAUCCUGAUGUCAGCCUGUUUCACAGAUGAGGCAAUGGAGGCUUUGAUCGCUUGCCCAGGGCCACAUCCAGUGAGUGGUACAGCUUGGACUCAAACCCAAGUCUGUGUGACUCCAACAUGUCACACUUCCUCACGUGAAAAGCCUCAUAUGAGGCUGGGCACAGUGACUUGUGCCUGUAAUCCCAGCACUUUGGGUGGCUGAGGCAGGAAGAUCACUUGAGGCCAGGAGUUCAAGACCAGCCUGAGCAACAUAGAGAGAUUCCCACCUCUAAAAAAAGUUUUUUGUUUUUUUUUUAAAUUAACUGGGCGUGGUAGCACACACGCAUAGUCCCAGGCUAAGGUGGGAAGGAUUGCUUAAGCCCAGGAGACUGAGGCUGUAGUGAGCCAUGAUCAUGCCAGUGCACUCCAGCCUGGGUGACAGAGCAAGACCCUGUCUAGAAACAAAGAAAAA
rnacentral:sRNA from 1 species